AUUGAACGCUAGCGGGAUGCCUUACACAUGCAAGUCGAACGGAGUGGCGAACGGGUGAGUAAUGUAUCGGAACGUGCCCAGUAGCGGGGGAUAACUACGCGAAAGCGUAGCUAAUACCGCAUACUAUUGGAGCGGCCGAUAUCGGAUUGGCUAGUUGGUGGGGUAACGGCUCACCAAGGCGACGAUCCGUAGCUGGUUUGAGAGGACGACCAGCAACACUGUGACUGAGAUACGGCCCAGAGUCCUCCGGUAGGCAGAAGUGGGGAAUGUUGGACAAGGGGGGAAACCCUGAUCCAGCCAUCCCGAGUGUGCGAUGAAGGCCUUCGGUUUGUAAAUCACUUUUGGCAGGAAAGCGGUACCUGCAGAAUAAGCACCGGCUAACUCCGUGCCAGCAGCCGCGGUAAUAC
rnacentral:rRNA from 1 species